GAUAAAAUGGCUGAAUUAUAGGCGAUAAAUUGUAAAUUUAUUUAUGAAAUUAAUAUUUCUUUUAUUA
rnacentral:tRNA from 1 species